AGAGAGAGACAUGCGCGCAUAUCAAUAAGCGGAGGAAAAGAAACUAACAAGGAUUCCCCUAGUAACGGCGAGUGAAGCGGGAAGAGCUCAAAUUUGAAAUCUUAAAGGGUUUCCCUUUACGAAUUGUAGUUUAAAGAAGUGUUUUCUGUUGAGGUUUUGGUAAAAGUUCUUUGGAAUAGGACAUCAUAGAGGGUGAGAAUCCCGUAUUUGACCUUUACUUUCAACUUUGUGAUACACUUUCAAAGAGUCGGAUUGUUUGGGAAUGCAGUCCAAAAUGGGUGGUAAAUUUCAUCUAAAGCUAAAUAUUGGCGAGAGACCGAUAGCGAACAAGUACCGUGAGGGAAAGAUGAAAAGAACUUUGAAAGAGAGAGUUAAACAGUACGUGAAAUUGUCAAAAGGGAAGCGUUUGACACCAGUGUUGUUUUUCUGAAAAUCAAUUAAAGAACUGUUUAUGCUAAGCUUGUUUAGACUUUAUCAGCUAACUGUUUAGUUUUGAGCUUUUCUUUAAUGCACUUUUCAGUUAACAAGUCAACAUCAAUUUCUUUUGCUGUAAAAAAGCUUGAGGAAGGUGGCUUGAGAUUCGUCUUAAGUGUUUAUAGCCUCUUGCCUAUGCAGUCGGAGAGAUUGAGGUCUGCAGCGUAGAUCCUUCGGGGCUAAAUGCAUUUGUGCUAAGUUAUAGCAUUUUAUAGACAACUUGUUGACUAUGAUUUGUCUUGUAGCUUACUCGCUUAUGUUAUUUUACCUACGCUUAGGAUGUUGACGCAUGAGAUAUACGC
rnacentral:rRNA from 1 species